GACGAACGCUGGCGGCGUGCUUAACACAUGCAAGUCGAACGGUAAGGCCCUUCGGGGUACACGAGUGGCGAACGGGUGAGUAACACGUGGGUGAUCUGCCCUGUACUUCGGGAUAAGCCCGGGAAACUGGGUCUAAUACCGGAUAUGACCGUGCCAUGCAUGUGGUGUGGUGGAAAGUUCCGGCGGUACAGGAUGGGCCCGCGGCCUAUCAGCUUGUUGGUGGGGUAAUGGCCUACCAAGGCGACGACGGGUAGCCGACCUGAGAGGGUGAUCGGCCACACUGGGACUGAGACACGGCCCAGACUCCUACGGGAGGCAGCAGUGGGGAAUAUUGCACAAUGGGCGAAAGCCUGAUGCAGCGACGCCGCGUGAGGGAUGACGGCCUUCGGGUUGUAAACCUCUUUUCACCAGGGACGAAGCGUGAGUGACGGUACCUGGAGAAGAAGCACCGGCCAACUACGUG
rnacentral:rRNA from 1 species